AGGCAUUCACCAUGGCGGUGAGGCGGCCGUCUCCUCAGGAAAAACAGGAAACAGCUGACAUGGAACCCAAAUAAUGCUGCCUUCAGGAAACACAUCAUCAUUGUUGCAUAUGCACAAAGACAGAGAGAGAUGCCCACUGACUGACGCCUUUCUCAGCACUGGUUAUGUUAUCUGGACCCUCUGGAAAGAUCUCAAGAGCCCUUUCUAUCAAGACAGUAGCCGCAGAAUAAAACAAUGUGAUUUAGCAUGUGAAGGAACCGGUGGAGGAGAUUGAGUUUUAGGUAUAGUCGAGAAGAACAAAAGAGAGAGAGAG